UAUUGAUAAAAAGGAACAACUUGGAAACAGGCUCUUCCAAGUGAGCAAAGAGAAACGAUACAGAAAAACAAAAAGAAAGCAAAACACAAAAAGCAGGAAAAAAGGGAACAACAGCAACAAAACAGGGAGCAUAACUUCUGAAACAACCCAAAACAAAAAAGGGCCAAACCAGAAAACUAGAGAUAACUAACUCACAUAACCUCAACAGGAGCUUGGCAACACGUUCAGAAGGAAAUUAACGCAACAAACCCCACAGAGCUCUUUCACAACAUCAGAUAUAUGAUGUAGCAAAAGCCAGAGAAGACAAAAGCCUUGGGUCGCCACCAUUUAGCAGAUGAAUCAAACGAAAUUUUCCCACAGAGGCUCCACCCUAUCACAGCCCAACUUUGCAAGACACCGGAAACGCCUUGGAGAUGCAGGGCCAUUCGACACCAAAUCAUGUCCUGGUGUGAGCAAGAACAUGGAUUGAGAGCGUUUGCAUUGACUAGUCAACUCCUCGAUCACGUUACCAGGAUUUUGAUGUUCCCCCAUUUUGUCGCCCCAUUUCUUUAAUUUGUUUAUCUUAUUACCAUCAUUUUAAGCUUAUUUUUAUUGAGUUAUACUCUCUAGAGUCCCUUAUUAUAAAUAAUUAUCCAUCUAUUGCGGGUGUAAUUUAUCUUUUCGAUGUGCCAAAAAAAUAAAUACUCUCUAGUCUCUCUUUCUCUUC